AUCCUUCAAUGCCAACUGCUCUUGCAGCUGGGCGAUCUCAGCCUGGAAGAGCCAAGGGCAUCAUUCAGAUGAGUCUACAGGAUCCCAAGGGAAAUUAACACCAUCUAGCUUCUCAGAAGUGAUUCCACAAAAGCCCCCAGUGCUGAGGACUUGGGAGAGGGAAGAGUUCUAAACCAUCAGAGCUAUCAGGAGCAACAGAAAAAAAUAAGAUCCAGCACUCUACGCUGGAUGAAGCUGCCCCUUCUA